GGACUGGUAGUUCAAUGGUAGAAUGCUUGCGCUGAGCUGCCCUUGCGCUCGCGAUGAGAGAUCUGUGGUUCGAUUCCCAGCUGGUCCA